CUGCAAUAUCAAUAGAUAGUAAGUUGCUGAUUGUGAGCCUUCAAGAUGACCUUGGUAUUGAAACUGGCCUGUUUCAUCCUCCAAUAGCCAAGGUUUAUUCUUGUAUUUCUCCCGCAAUGCAUCAGUUAGUUGACGUCCUUGAAGUCCUUCUUUUUGGAGCAACCAUUUAUUCUCAGCAUUUUUCUUCUUUGAAAAACUUGGUAGCCCUGUCACAAAUCUACCAAUAAAGUAGUUCUUGUCACUGGAAGGACUAGCUCGGACAUUGUAUUCCCGAAUCAAGCGAGUUACUGCAGCACCACAAUCGUAGCAUUUUCCGCGAUUCUCAGCCAUGGUUUUGCCACAAGUCAAGCAUAGAGUCAUGUGCUUACAGUUGCUUCCAUAUAAGUCUGUGGUGGAACCACAUCCACUACAUGAUGGCUUCAACAUAAGAUCAAAAGACAUUUUUCCUCCACCUUCAAUUAAUUAAUAGUUGAAUAUCCAGAAAAUUGAACCCCAAAAUCCAACGAUCAAUAUCUAUACACGAUAACUCAAAACAUGGCAGCUAGCUUCGAUGGAGUUUUUGAAUCAGAAACGACUGAGGAGUGGCAGGGACAGUCCAUCAAGGCAGACUUGGCAGUGAGAGUCAAGAGCCUGAGAAGUUGCUAAUGUUUACUAAUUUUAUUCUUCAAAAUCAUCAGGCCCAGAAGAUUUCAGUCUUCAAUCUUCACAAUUGUAGGAGGGUCAGAGAAGAAGAACAGCUGACGAUAUGGAGAGUUGAGAGGAGAGGUUGGCCGGUCGUGGAUGGGUGAGUCGCGACUCAAGUGCGAGAGGCAGAGAAGAUCGAAGAUGAAGAUGAGAGGGUCUAGGGCAC
rnacentral:misc_RNA from 1 species